rnacentral:lncRNA from 10 species
UCUAUGGAUUGGCCUAUUCUGACAUUUCACAUCAGUCAUCUGUUGCUUAAUGACAGACACACAUUUGGAGAAAUGUGUCAUUAGGCAAUUUUCUUCAUGUGUACACAUCAAAGAGUGUCCUUACACAAACCUAAAUGGGACAACCUACUGCAGACCUAGGCUGUAUGACAGAACCUAUUGCUCCUCGGCUACAAACCUGUACAGCAUGCAACUCUACUCAACACUGUAAGAAACUGUAACACAGUGGUGAUUGUCUUAAUGUGGGUUUCCCCAGAAGUGGCCCUGAGGAAGGACUUGAGUGCAAGUAGCUUCCUGAGAAGUGGCGAGUGGAAAAAUGCAGCAGGGAAGUGGAGAAGAGAGAAGCGGAAGGGAAGACAGUUGCUAAAGCUGCAUUGGAAUGGGCUUUCCUCGUUCCCUUGGAGGAGACUGCGUGGGUUUCUAGACUAUACUAAGGUGAUUCUGAUGAACAGCAGCCUUGGAAACGACUGCCUUAGGGGACUUGCUGCUAUAAAUAAAGAAGACAGA